rnacentral:lncRNA from 1 species
ACUCCCAGCCCCUGGCUCCUCUGUGAUUGGCGGCCCCGCUCAGGCCUGGCAUGGGCUCCUGGCAACAGGUGCCCUGUAAGCACAGAGCCAGCCUCGGAAAGGAUGGACUGUCCCUGGCUGCAGCACCGAGGGGCCUGGUAACCCUCCCGCCUUCGCCUGGCCUGGCUCCCUCUGCUCUGCUACGGGCUGGGACCAGAUGGCGAAUUAGCAGGGCUGAUUUACAGCGACAGCUCCGUCGGCUGAGUGAGGUGGUGAUGGCUGCUGGGAAAGAUGCUAAGUGUGAUGUGGAAGCAGCCAGGUGGGGGGUCUGGUCACCUGGAUGUGAGGAACAAAGACGAAUUUACUGAGAAGAUGCCUUUUGACUUGAGACAGGGAUGACCUGAAGGAUCCAGCCAUUGUAUGAGCCAGGAGAGCAUCACAGGCAUGUGGGGGCAAGAGUGAUACCCUGUAGCAGAAGAGCAGGCCAGUGGGGCUGGUCCACAGGGAGGGAGGGCAGAGAUGGCCUUGGCCACAAGGCCCAAGAACCACAGUAAGGAGGGGGCAGCAUCUCAAGUGCGAUGGGUAGCCCUUGGGCAUUUUAGCAGAAUGAUUGAUACGAUUCCCUUAUAAAACCAAAACCACCCUGAGUGCAGAAGGGGAGAGGCGGGCAGCUAGGCAGGAGUCCUCGUGCAUCACUCACAUAGGCAAUGAGGGACUUCGCACGGGGAGGGACCGUGGAGCUGUGGGUACGAGGACAGUUACGGGUUACGAUUUUUUUUUGGCCGCACCCAUGGCAUGUGGAAGUUCCUGCGUGGAGGACCAAACCCUUGCCACAGCAGUGACAACACAGGCCCUUAACCUGCUGAGCCACCAGGGAACUCCCUGUCAUGUUCUGGAUUGAAACCAACAGAAUUUAUUGUUCACACAGAUGUGAGGGGCAAGGAAAACCUGGAAUUGCCUCCUAAUUUGGCAGGUUUGAGUGAUAAGCCAUGAAGAUAUCGGAAGGACAAGAGAGGAACAGACCUGGGGUGAGCUAAUUGGGACUUCCGAUCAACUGGGAGUCUGUCCCCAGAACAACUGUGCAGUCAGCGGCUCCUGGGCCACGGUGUGGACGGUGGCUGCAGGGGUGGUAUUUACCCCUGGCCAGAACCAGAACUCUCUGAUCCGUGCAGAAAGACUUCCUAGAGACUCCUGGAGCCUGGGCGCGGAGUGGGGGUGGGGAGGUGCCGGCCUGCCUGCCUUCGCUUGUCUACACCCCGUGCUGUGCACAUUCAGAGUUUACAGGAAGGCCUCCCAUUCUGGGGACACCUGGUUCUCAUUUUGUCAUUUUACACCCUUCCAUAUUGUUGGAAAUGUUUUUACUAUAAG